AACUCCUGAGCCGUGCUUGCACGGGCGAAGGAGCUGGCAUUGCUGACACGCCCCGACAUGAGCAUGCAGCGGGGGAGGGGCCCCGCGGAAUGCGAAUGGAGGGGCAGAUUGCGAGAGUGCGAAGCACGAAGCAAUCUGU
rnacentral:sRNA from 1 species